rnacentral:rRNA from 1 species
AGCGAACGCUGGCGGCAGGCCUAACACAUGCAAGUCGAGCGGGCGUAGCAAUACGUCAGCGGCAGACGGGUGAGUAACGCGUGGGAACAUACCUUUUGGUUCGGAGCAACACAGGGAAACUUGUGCUAAUACCGGAUAAGCCCUUACGGGGAAAGAUUUAUCGCCGAAAGAUUGGCCCGCGUCUGAUUAGCUAGUUGGUGAGGUAACGGCUCACCAAGGCGACGAUCAGAGCUGGUCUGAGAGGAUGAUCAGCCACAUUGGGACUGAGACACGGCCCAAACUCCUACGGGAGGCAGCAGGUGGGGAAUAUUGGACAAUGGGCGCAAGCCUGAUCCAGCCAUGCCGCGUGAGUGAU